rnacentral:rRNA from 1 species
GAUGAACGCUGGCGGCGUGCCUAAUACAUGCAAGUCGAGCGAACAGACGAGGAGCUUGCUCCUUCGACGUUAGCGGCGGACGGGUGAGUAACACGUAGGUAACCUACCUAUAAGACUGGGAUAACUUCGGGGAACCGGAGCUAAUACCGGAUAAUAUUUCGAACCGCAUGGUUCGAUAGUGAAAGAUGGCUUUGCUAUCACUUAUAGAUGGACCUGCGCCGUAUUAGCUAGUUGGUAAGGUAACGGCUUACCAAGGCAACGAUACGUAGCCGACCUGAGAGGGUGAUCGGCCACACUGGAACUGAGACACGGUCCAGACUCCUACGGGAGGCAGCAGUAGGGAAUCUUCCGCAAUGGGCGAAAGCCUGACGGAGCAACGCCGCGUGAGUGAUGAAGGUCUUCGGAUCGUAAAACUCUGUUAUUAGGGAAGAACAAACGUGUAAGUAACUGUGCACGUCUUGACGGUACCUAAUCAGAAAGCCACGGCUAACUACGUG